ACGAUUUAGAAGGACGUUGAAGAAAAAAAACAAGACAAGAUGAGGGACUACCGUGUUUUACUUUUACUGCUAGGGGUUUGCCUUGUCUUCAGUCAGAGUCAUCCGGGAUCAGUUAGAGAUGAUUCGGAGAUUUCUGAUGAUCACACGUACCCGUGGUACAUGCAAACUGAUCGAAUGCUUGUAUCAUCAGGUCACACUUCCUAUCGCUUGACUUACGGCAGUACAGUGUUACUUUUUGGAGUCGUAGCUGUUGCUCUUCUGUUUGUUAAGGGAUGAUGGUAUUCAGUUAACGUGUGUGACGGUGUAACCUGAACAACCGCUUCUGUAAAAGAGAUUUUUAAACAUUAUUGAAUUAAAAUAUAUACAUGAAUAAAUUGA